UACGUAGGGUGCAAGCGUUAAUCGGAAUUACUGGGCGUAAAGCGUGCGCAGGCGGUUCGUUGUGUCGGUGGUGAAAGCUCCGGGCUUAACCUGGGAAUGGCCAUGGAAACUGGCGAACUGGAGUGUGGCAGAGGGGGGUGGAAUUCCGCGUGUAGCAGUGAAAUGCGUAGAGAUGCGGAGGAACACCGAUGGCGAAGGCAGCCCCCUGGGCUAGCACUGACGCUCAGGCACGAAAGCGUGGGGAGCAAACAGG
rnacentral:rRNA from 1 species